rnacentral:ncRNA from 2 species
UGGUACGUUGCCUGCGCCAGUCGAACCCGUGAUCGGGUGAGGGAAUCCGGUGCAAGGCCGGAACUGACGCGCAGCGGUAAGGAAGAGGUCCCGCGCACACGCCACUGGAGGCUCCGCCUCCGGGAAGGCGCCGGGUCCGUCGCCCCGCACCGGCUUCCGGCCGGGGCGAACUUCCGAGUCCGAAGACCUGCUGGCAGCCGUGCCAGGAC